rnacentral:rRNA from 1 species
AAAAAGAGGAGUGGCGAACGGGUGAGUAACACGUGGGUAACCUGCCCAUCAGAAGGGGAUAACACUUGGAAACAGGUGCUAAUACCGUAUAACAAUCGAAACCGCAUGGUUUUGAUUUGAAAGGCGCUUCCGGGUGUCGCUGAUGGAUGGACCCGCGGUGCAUUAGCUGGUUGGUGAGGUAACGGCUCACCAAGGCCACGAUGCAUAGCCGACCUGAGAGGGUGAUCGGCCACAUUGGGACUGAGACACGGCCCAAACUCCUACGGGAGGCAGCAGUAGGGAAUCUUCGGCAAUGGACGAAAGUCUGACCGAGCAACGCCGCGUGAGUGAAGAAGGUUUUCGGAUCGUAAAACUCUGUUGUUAGAGAAGAACAAGGAUGAGAGUAACUGUUCAUCCCUUGACGGUAUCUAACCAGAAAGCCACGGCUAACUACGUGCCAGCAGCCGCGGUAAUACGUAGGUGGCAAGCGUUGUCCGGAUUUAUUGGGCGUAAAGCGAGCGCAAGCGGUUUCUUAAGUCUGAUGUGAAAGCCCCCGGCUCAACCGGGGAGGGUCAUUGGAAACUGGGAGACUUGAGUGCAGAAGAGGAGAGUGGAAUUCCAUGUGUAGCGGUGAAAUGCGUAGAUAUAUGGAGGAACACCAGUGGCGA